AGACCCGAAACCCGGUGAUCUAGCCAUGGGCAGGUUGAAGGUUGGGUAACACUAACUGGAGGACCGAACCGACUAAUGUUGAAAAAUUAGCGGAUGACCUGUGGCUGGGGGUGAAAGGCCAAUCAAACCGGGAGAUAGCUGGUUCUCCCCGAAAGCUAUUUAGGUAGCGCCUCGUGAAUUCAUCUCCGGGGGUAGAGCACUGUUUCGGCUAGGGGGCCAUCCCGGCUUACCAACCCGAUGCAAACUGCGAAUACCGGAGAAUGUUAUCACGGGAGACACACGGCGGGUGCUAACGUCCGUCGUGAAGAGGGAAACAACCCAGACCGCCAGCUAAGGUCCCAAAGUCAUGGUUAAGUGGGAAACGAUGUGGGAAGGCCCAGACAGCCAGGAUGUUGGCUUAGAAGCAGCCAUCAUUUAAAGAAAGCGUAAUAGCUCACUGGUCGAGUCGGCCUGCGCGGAAGAUGUAACGGGGCUAAACCAUGCACCGAAGCUGCGGCAGCGACACUGUGUGUUGUUGGGUAGGGGAGCGUUCUGUAAGCCUGUGAAGGUGGCCUGUGAGGGUUGCUGGAGGUAUCAGAA
rnacentral:rRNA from 1 species